rnacentral:rRNA from 1 species
AUUGAACGCUGGCGGCAGGCUUAACACAUGCAAGUCGAGCGAGCGGCGGACGGGUGAGUAAUGUCUGGGCACCUGCCUGAUGGAGGGGGCUAACUACUGUAACCGGUAGCUACUACCGCAUACCAUCCUCUGUGCCCUGUUGGGCUUAUCUAGUAGGUGGGGUAAUGGGUCACCUAGGCGACGCUCCCUCGCUGGUCUGAGAGGAUGACCAGCCACACUGGAACUGAGACACGGGCCAGACUCCUACGGGAGGCAGCAGUGGGGAAUAUUGCACAAGGGGCGAAAGCCUGAUGCAGCCAGGCCGCGUGUGUGAAGAAGGCCUUCGGGUUGUAAAGCACUUUCAGCGAGGAGGCGGUACUCGCAGAAGAAGCACCGGCUAACUCCGUGCCAGCCGCCGCGGUAAUUC